UACGUAGGGGGCAAGCGUUUGUCCGGAAUCAUUGGGCGUAAAGCGCGUGUAGGCGGCCCGGUAAGUCCGCUGUGAAAGUCGGGGGGCUCAACCCUCGGAUGCCGGUGGAUACUGCCGGGCUAGAGUCCGGAAGAGGCGAGUGGAACUCCUGGUGUAGCGGUGGAAUGCGCAGAUAUCGUAAGGAAGACCAGUGGCGAAGGCGGCUCACGUGGCCCGGUACUGACGCUGAGGUGCGAAAGCGUGGGGAGCAAACAGG
rnacentral:rRNA from 1 species